rnacentral:rRNA from 1 species
AGAUUGAACGCUGGCGGCAGGCCUAACACAUGCAAGUCGAGCGGCAGCACGGGUACUUGUACCUGGUGGCGAGCGGCGGACGGGUGAGUAAUGCCUAGGAAUCUGCCUGAUAGUGGGGGAUAACGUUCGGAAACGGACGCUAAUACCGCAUACGUCCUACGGGAGAAAGUGGGGGAUCUUCGGACCUCACGCUAUCAGAUGAGCCUAGGUCGGAUUAGCUAGUUGGUAGGGUAAAGGCCUACCAAGGCUACGAUCCGUAACUGGUCUGAGAGGAUGAUCAGUCACACUGGAACUGAG